GAUGAACGCUAGCGGCAGGCUUAAUACAUGCAAGUCGAGGGGCAGCAUGAUUGUAGCAAUACAAUUGAUGGCGACCGGCAAACGGGUGCGGAACACGUACACAACCUUCCAACAAGUGGGGGAUAGCCCAGAGAAAUUUGGAUUAAUACCCCGUAACAUAGCGAUGUGGCAUCACAUUGCUAUUAUAGAUUUUUCGCUUGUUGAUGGGUGUGCGGCUGAUUAGAUAGUUGGCGGGGUAACGGCCCACCAAGUCUACGAUCAGUAGCUGAUGUGAGAGCAGGAUCAGCCACACGGGCACUGAGACACGGGCCCGACUCCUACGGGAGGCAGCAGUAAGGAAUAUUGGACAAUGGACGCAAGUCUGAUCCAGCCAUGCCGCGUGAAGGAUUAAGGUCCUCUGGAUUGUAAACUUCUUUUAUAAGGGACGAAAAAAGGCUUUUCUAGGUCGUCUGACGGUACCUUAUGAAUAAGCACCGGCUAACUCCGUGCCAGCAGCCGCGGUAA
rnacentral:rRNA from 1 species